UUCUUGGUCACCUCCCUGACCAAGGCCCUUCUCCCCCAUUGCUCAGUUUUCCUGGGCGGCCAGCUCUAGGAAGAGUCUUGGUGGUUCCAAACUUCUGAUGGAGGCCACGUUGUUCUAUGGGACCUUCAAUGCUGCAGACAUUUUUUGGUACCCUUCCCCAGUCCAAUCAAUAGAGUUUACCACAGGUGGACUCCAAUCAAGUUGUAGAAACAUCUCAAGGAUGAUCAAUGGAAACAGGAUGCACCUGAGCUCAAUAUCAAGUCUCAUAGCAAAGGGUCUGAAUACUUCUGUAAAUAAGGUGUGCUUUUUUUUAAAUAAAUGUGCAAAAUGUCUAAACCUGUUUUCGCUUUGUCAUUAUGGGAUAUUGUGUAUAGAUUGAUGGAGGAAAAACAUAAAUUCAAUCCAUUUUAGAAUAAGGCUGUAACGUAACAAAAUAUGGAAUAAGUCAAGGGGUCUGAGCACUUUCCGAAUGCACUGUAGACUACUUUACCUACUCUCUCCUCUCACUCUCAGAUGGAGCUGAUAAAUGCCGCUGUCGUUGUCAUGGGGAUCAUUCUCAGCUAGCCGUCGUUGGGCGUUGCUAUGGCAGCCCUAGCAGAAGAUUGCUGCUGCACACCUCUGGUUGCCAAGCUGCUGCUGUUGUUAGGGAUAGCCUCCAGAAGUCUGCCAUUUCCUGCAGAGACAGAGAGACACCAGCAAUCAGCCACUCAGUCUCAGACACCUGCCUCAGCUCAGUCAGCACUUUAUCUCCCCCCUCUCUCAGUAUUCCACACAGGGACACAGGAAUUCACAUCGCACAAUGAGCUGAUUGCUUCACAGGGCCUCUUCAUACAUUUUCAUCACAAAUCUCUUUCUUCUGUAGAUCAUUUGCUAUACAAUGGUGUGUUCAUAUUCUAGAUUAAAGAUUUGUCACACAGAAAUUGUAUCAAUAUCUAUUGUUGGAUCCAAAUGGCUUUUCUCUCUAGGCUAACUAGUUCAUGAGUAAAAGGCAGAUGGAUGAUAUUGGUUGUAUUCAUAGUCAUUGUCAUCAAUGUAUUGGAAUGCUUAGCUCAGUCAGGGGUAUGACACCCAUAGAAACUAAGAAUACAGAGAGAAAGUGAAAUCAGUUAAAUAAACAUAUGGAUAACAUAUGGUUAGAACAGUCUGCCUGUCUGGUACAGGGGUAGGCAACCCUGGUCCUGGAGUGCAACAGGCACUUCAUGUUUUUGAUUUAAACGACCUGGAAGACCAGAUGUGUUGAAUUUAGGCAAUCACUGAACUGGUCAAUUAGCUCAGUUGGUCAGGUGUAGUGCCUAGUUGGAACAAAAUCCUAGCCCUGGUCUGUAUGGUCUAGCUAGCAUAAUCAUUUCCUCUGGUCAAAGGAGAAAGGUCUCUUCCCACUUAAAACAAUAUUGACUCCAACCAGACAGGAAGCGAGAGGUUUUACUCCGCCCAAAAUCUGUCAAUGAAAAUAAGCCUAUGAAGUGAGGAAUUUUGGGAUGGAGGUCAAUGAGUGUCGAAUACAUGUAAAAAAAAUAAAAAUAAAUAAGUCUAUGAUUUUCUAA